AGGACGAACGCUGGCGGCGUGCUUAACACAUGCAAGUCGAGCGGAAAGGCCCUUCGGGGUACUCGAGCGGCGAACGGGUGAGUAACACGUGAGUAACCUGCCCCUAGCUCUGGGAUAGCUCCGGGAAACCGGGAUUAAUACCAGAUACGACCACUUUAGACAUCUGUCGUGGUGGAAAGGAUUCCGGCUAGGGAUGGGCUCGCGGCCUAUCAGCUUGUUGGUGGGGUAACGCCUACCAAGGCGACGACGGGUAGCCGGCCCGAGAGGGCGACCGGCCACACUGGGACUGAGACACGGCCCAGACUCCUACGGGAGGCAGCAGUGGGGAAUAUUGCACAAUGGGCGCAAGCCUGAUGCAGCGACGCCGCGUGAGGGAUGACGGCCUUCGGGUUGUAAACCCCUUUCAGCAGGGACGAAGCGAAAGUGACGGUACCUGCAGAAGAAGCGCGGCUAACUACGUGCCAGCAGCCGC
rnacentral:rRNA from 1 species